rnacentral:rRNA from 1 species
UACGUAGGCAGCGAGCGUUGUUCGGAGUUACUGGGCGUAAAGGGCGUGUAGGCGGCUCCCUAAGUUUGGUGUGAAAUCUCCCGGCUCAACCGGGAGGGUGCGCCGAAAACUGGGGGGCUAGAGUGCGGGAUGGGAAAGUGGAAUUCCUGGUGUAGCGGUGAAAUGCGUAGAUAUCAGGAGGAACACCGGUGGUGUAGACGGCUUUCUGGGCCGAUACUGACGCUGAGGAGCGAAAGCGUGGGGAGCGAACAGG